CUGUCUCGAUUUUCAAUCUAACCCUAAUCCCCAAACACUGCUACCCUCCUACUUAAUACGCGAGCUCUCUCUCUCUCUGUACAUGUCGCGCUUGUCUCUCUUUUACGCACACACUCACUCACAGGUGCACCGAAGGCAUUCGCCGAAGCUCUAGCGACUAGCAUCUUCUUCCAUAACUGUAGCCUCAGCAUCUACUGCCGGAGCCGUAGCUCUGAGCUAGAGUGGCCUCACUAUCUCACUCAGGGCGGCGGGCCUCCCAGCGGUGACGCUCAAAGACCAAAGUGGUUCACUUGCCAGGUAAGUUUCUACUUCGUGUUUUCUUUCUCUAAAUACGUAUGUAUCUGCAUGUGUAUAUAUUGAUAUACAAUGUCUAUAUUUGUGUCUAUAUAUUUUUUCAAUAUUUGUAUAUUUAUGUUUAUACAAUUAUAAAAUCAAAACCACCUUCUAUACUUUGCAAAAGAAGAAAAAAUAAUUGAAAGAAUAACUUUCACAAUGCACAGAAGGUGUUUGGCUAAAUGUCUGAAUGAGUUUAUAUUUGUUUCUCAGCACAACUUUGUUCCUAGUGGGCUGUUCUCCACAUGGUUUUGUUGAUUUUGGGUUGGCGGACUCACAGAUGAACUCCUUGUAGCAUUCAAUCAAUAGUUAAAUUCAUUAUAGUUUGGUUUGUCAUUGAUUUCUUUAAAAGCAUGAUUAGUUCAACAGAUUAAUUAAGCUUCUUGCUUGAUUGACCUUAUUCUAAAUCAUGGGUUUAUACAUCAAAUUGCAUUUUUAGUUUGUUCAUCAUUGGCUUUUGCCAAAAAAAAAAAAAAAA